rnacentral:rRNA from 1 species
AGAGUUUGAUCCUGGCUCAGGAUGAACGCUGGCGGCGUGCUUAACACAUGCAAGUCGAACGAACCUUCGGGUUAGUGGCGGACGGGUGAGUAACGCGUGAGAAUCUGCCCUCAGGAGGGGGAUAACGGCUGGAAACGGCCGCUAAUACCCCAUAUGCCGAGAGGUGAAAUGAAUUUCGCCUGAGGAUGAGCUCGCGUCUGAUUAGCUAGUUGGUGGGGUAAUAGCCCACCAAGGCUUCGAUCAGUAGCUGGUCUGAGAGGAUGAUCAGCCACACUGGGACUGAGACACGGCCCAGACUCCUACGGGAGGCAGCAGUGGGGAAUUUUCCGCAAUGGGCGAAAGCCUGACGGAGCAACGCCGCGUGAGGGAUGAAGGCCUCUGGGCUGUAAACCUCUUUUAUCAAGGAAGAAGAUCUGACGGUACUUGAUGAAUAAGCCACGGCUAAUUCCGUGCCAGCAGCCGCGGUAAUACGGGAGUGGCAAGCGUUAUCCGGAAUUAUUGGGCGUAAAGCGUCCGCAGGCGGCCUUGUAAGUCUGUCGUUAAAGCGUGGAGCUCAACUCCAUUUCAGCGAUGGAAACUACAGGGCUUGAGUGUGGUAGGGGCAGAGGGAAUUCCCGGUGUAGCGGUGAAAUGCGUAGAUAUCGGGAAGAACACCAGUGGCGAAGGCGCUCUGCUGGGCCAUAACUGACGCUCAUGGACGAAAGCCAGGGGAGCGAAAGGGAUUAGAUACCCCUGUAGUCCUGGCCGUAAACGAUGAACACUAGGUGUCGGGGGAAUCGACCCCCUCGGUGUCGUAGCCAACGCGUUAAGUGUUCCGCCUGGGGAGUACGCACGCAAGUGUGAAACUCAAAGGAAUUGACGGGGGCCCGCACAAGCGGUGGAGUAUGUGGUUUAAUUCGAUGCAACGCGAAGAACCUUACCAGGGUUUGACAUCCUGCGAAUCUCUUGGAAACGAGAGAGUGCCUUCGGGAACGCAGUGACAGGUGGUGCAUGGCUGUCGUCAGCUCGUGUCGUGAGAUGUUGGGUUAAGUCCCGCAACGAGCGCAACCCACGUCUUUAGUUGCCAGCAUUCAGUUGGGCACUCUAGAGAGACUGCCUGUGAUAAACCGGAGGAAGGUGGGGAUGACGUCAAGUCAUCAUGCCCCUUACAUCCUGGGCUACACACGUACUACAAUGCUACGGACAAAGGGCAGCAAACUCGCGAGAGCUAGCAAAUCCCAUAAACCGUGGCUCAGUUCAGAUCGUAGGCUGCAACUCGCCUACGUGAAGGAGGAAUCGCUAGUAAUCGCAGGUCAGCAUACUGCGGUGAAUACGUUCCCGGGCCUUGUACACACCGCCCGUCACACCAUGGAAGUUGGCCACGCCCGAAGCCGUUACUCCAACCCUUGUGGAGGAGGAUGUCGAAGGUGGGGCUGAUGACUGGGGUGAAGUCGUAACAAGGUAGCCGUACCGGAAGGUGCGGCUG